AAAGAAUUGAAACUGUCCGGGAGACUGGACAGCUCCAAGCAUUAGCUCUGCUGGGAUCCCAGCCAGGAAGCAUGAUUUUACAGCAAUUUCUUCCUGGCAAGAACCAUGCAAAGUCAUGAUCCGGAGCAAGACGUGGUCACACACACUGAAUGAAAUCUGGUGACAUUCCCAACGGGAUGCAAUACAGAUCAGCUGGGGAGGAGAUCUGAACUCUCCGAACAGAAGCUCCUGGAAUUUCCUGAAGCAACAGGUACCCAUAACCUGUUUGGGGACGCGGUCACAUACAGCCCCUGCCCCACGCAGAUGCCGUGUUCUCUCCACGUGGGCUCCAACAUACUGCGUCAGCUGCGGGGAUGACUCCUCACUCUGCUCGGACUCCAGCGUCCCAGGCUGUGUGGACUCCGCCUUCGCCUGGACAGACACCCUCCCUGCCUGCUCAGGCUCUGAUACCGCGCUUGGGGUUAUCACCACCCACCCCUCCAUGCUCAAUGGCUUCUUGGGCUCCGAUACCCUGGGCUCUGAUACCCUGCCAAGUUAGUCCUGCUGCCACCACCCCAGCCCCUCUGCACAGGCCCUCGUUAUCCCAUUUCAGCCCAAUACCUCUGUGGGUUCCUCCUCACCCUGCUCAGGCUCCAAAACCCCAUGCCCGAUGUCAGGGUCACACCCCCCGCCCCGCCCCACAGAAGCCCCGCUUGCCCUGCUCUGAUGCGGGCACUGACUCCCACGUGGGUAUGCCCACCUAACGGCUUUGGGUCACUGGAAGGGAGGGGAGAAGGCAGGCAGGAAGUAAGUUUCUACCUAGUCUGUCUUCUUGAAGCAGUUUCUUUCUGUUGGUGUUGGUCUUUCCUUCAUAUAAGAGGCUUUCCUCAGAUACCUAGAGAUUCUUGGUUGUCUGUGUGGUUGGGUGAGUAGAGAAGGGGGUUGUCUUAGCAUUUGGACACUUCACUGAUCCGUCUGGGCUAUUCCAUGGAGGACCAUCCAAAGGCAGUAUCUUUAGGUCUUGUCUGUUUUACCUGCUCCAGAAACUAACCUCCAGCUUUCUGCUGGAAAGAGGGAAUUGGGUGGGACAAGGGUUUGUCCCGCGGCUGGUAGCUGGGGAGGGGUCCAGGCAUCUAACUGCGCACUAAGCAGACUUCCAAACCGUCUGCUGUUUGUCGCCCCUUCUCACGGCAGCUUCUGGAGGGCCCUGGGCUCCAUCCCUGGGCCUCUGGGAGCGCGGUGGUGACAGUCAGGCUGCCCCUCGGCUUUCCCUCUCACGGCUGAGGUAUCGAGGUUUCCUGGUUCUGCUAACCCACUUAGCACUCAG